GGCUCCGUGGUGACAGCCGUGUCUCUCGUUCUAUCUCGCUGACGGUUACUCCACGCCAGGCCGCUCCUCCACCGCCAACAGCCCCUCUUUCCAGCUAGGUCCCUCACGCUUCCGCCGGGACACGGUCCACACCCCCGUCACGUGACUCAGAUCCAGCCUCACGCCAGCGGCUGCCGCCAUCUUGGAUUCGGACAGGUAGAGUCAGGAUCUGUUGAAAAUGAAGCUGGUGGCAGCCAUUUUGGAUGUGGGCACUGACAUUUCUAGCGGGGGCUGCCCGCCAUCUUGGUUUAGGGCAUUAAGAAGGAUUCGACCCUAUUGACGCUCAAAGUUUGAAGGGCCGUUUGGGAUUCGGACACGAUGUUUUCCAAGGAGCCUGAUGUCUGCGACCGAUUAGAGCAGCCCCCGACUGCCUCUGAGGCCAUGAUCGGCCAUCUUGGAUGCUGUCAAUAGAGCCCCUUGUUGGUUUCAUUGAUCGAUUCGGUGAGAGUAGGUCGGUUCUGUUCAGAUGGCUGGUGAGAAAGGAAGAUAGAUGCCUUCAAUGCUGAGUUUUUCCAUCCUCCUUGUCAUCCUCUGUUGGAAGGAAGAAAGGACCAGCACAGCAUUGAGGAACCUCUGUUAUGAGGAGAUGAUUACAUUGUUCAGCUAUAUUUGA
rnacentral:lncRNA from 1 species